rnacentral:lncRNA from 1 species
CCUGCACCUGGACUAAGUGUUUAUGCCCUGCACCUGGACUAAGUGUUUGAAAAGCACUUUAUAUUUUAUUCAGCAGGACUUGUGUCUGGAAAGGAGCUGAAUAUUUGUUUGGAGUGAUUGACAGUUCUGGUUAAAGAUUUCAGAGCAGGAUGGAUCCAAAUCAUUAGUGUGGCUGAUCUUCUUUUGUGACAGCUGCUGGAAAGUCUUCUCCCCUUGAAGAUU